GAUGAACGCUAGCGGCAGGCCUAACACAUGCAAGUCGAGGGGUAGAACACUUCGGUGUUUGAGACCGGCGCACGGGUGCGUAACGCGUAUGCAAUCUACCUUGUACAGGGGAAUAGCCCAGAGAAAUUUGGAUUAAUGCCCCAUAGUAUAUAAUCUUCGCAUGUUGGGUAUAUUAAAGUUCCAACGGUACAAGAUGAGCAUGCGUCUCAUUAGUUAGUUGGUAAGGUAACGGCUUACCAAGACGAUGAUGGGUAGGGGUCCUGAGAGGGAGAUCCCCCAGACUGGUAAUGAGACACGGACCAGACGUCUACGGGAGACAGCAGGGCAGAAUAUUGGUACAUGGGCGCAAGCCUGACCCAGCCAUGACGCGUACAGGAAGACGGUCCUAUGGAUUGUAAACUGCUUUUAUACAGGAAGAAACAACUCUACGUGUAGAGUCUUGACGGUACUGUAGGAAUAAGGAUCGGCUAACUCCGUGCCAGCCGCCGCCGUAAAAC
rnacentral:rRNA from 1 species